UCCCCGCCAGCCUCCACACCUAUAGCCACCACUGAUCUUUUUCCUGUCUCCAAAGUUUUGCCUUUUCCAGAAUGUCAUACAAUUGGAAUCAUACAGUAUGUUGACUUUGCAGCACAAACCUGCCUGGCCUUGUGUGGGCUCCUUGAUCUCCACCAGGGUGAAAGCCCCACAGUAAGCUGGAGAGCUGAUGAGUAGCGGCAGAGGUGGCAAAGCCCCCAGGAUGAGACCCUAGCGGAGUGGGUUUCUACUGUGACCCAGAGGCUGCCAUUUUACUCUCACAAGAAGAACCAAAUCCAAUAGCACUGGAAUAUUUCUAAGAGUCAGAAACCCUGGUUCCAGUGCCGGCUCGGUGGACCACCAACCAACAGUGUGGACUUAAUCAAACUGCUCUGCCUAAUUGGA